rnacentral:lncRNA from 1 species
AUGCUUACAGUGAAGAUCAGAGCUCCCCUGACGAGAACAGCAGUCAUUCCCAGUGACAGCGAGGCCCUGAGCUCCUUCUUCGAUGAGAACAGCCAAGUUUGCAUCAGGAAAACCAGCAGCAGAAAGCUUCUCCUAGAAAAUCAACAGCUCACAAUCUUCCCCUCCAGUUCUCUUUUUAUGCCAUUGGCAACAAUCCUCAGCUCAAUUCCCAAGGAUCCAUGA